GGUUGUGGCUCAGUGGCAGAGCGCUUGCCUAGCAUGUGUGAGGCACUGGGUUUGAUUCUCAGCACCA
rnacentral:tRNA from 1 species